UUCGUAACCACUAGGGCUGUCAAAAUUGCUCAAAAAUGACAUUCGAAUGUUCGUUUGGAAAAAAAUCACGAAUUCGAACUAUUCGAAUAUCUGAGGUGCGUUCAGAAUCGCAAACAUAGGCGAACGUUCGCGAACGAUUUUAAACAUUUUCCGUUAAACGAACAUAAGCAAGCAAACGUUUACGAACAUAGGCAAACUGUCUGAAGAGGUAGUUCUCCACAAACAGAGAUGGAUCGCGGUGCUCUCUUCGGCUACGUGACAUUCGUUGCCAUGGCAUUAAACUAAACUAUAUUGAAAUCAUUUACUCCUUUCCUACACAGAAAGCAAUAGAUAAAACGUUUCAUAUAGCCUAUCUACACCCUUACUUCAACUGUUGUCUUUUGCAUCCUAAAAUGCGAUUUGAACGUUAUAUCGCAGUAAGUGGGUACAACUUCGGUGACGUAGCCCUCUAUUCUUGAAUUUUCCGUACUGGUUGUCUGCAGUAGGCUUUCAACGAGGUCGACCACUUGCAAACCCUCUUCUGUAAACUCUUCCAUUAACAUGGAGGCUGCCGCUAAUACCAUGGCCUUCGUAUCCAUUUUUUUCGUUUACAGUUUGUUUAGAA